rnacentral:rRNA from 1 species
UGAGGCCUACGGGGGGCAGCAGUGAGGAAUAUUGGUCAAUGGGCGGGAGCCUGAACCAGCCAAGCCGCGUGAGGGAAGAAGGUACAGCGUAUCGUAAACCUCUUUUGUCAGGGAACAAAGGCGGGGACUAGUCCCCGGAUGAGGGUACCUGAAGAAAAAGCAUCGGCUAACUCCGUGCCAGCAGCCGCGGUAAUACGGAGGAUGCGAGCGUUAUCCGGAUUUAUUGGGUUUAAAGGGUGCGUAGGCGGGACGGUAAGUCAGCGGUAAAAAUGCGGAGCUCAACUCCGUCGAGCCGUUGAAACUGU